rnacentral:lncRNA from 1 species
AAUAAGUCAUACAACUACAUAUUACGAUUUUUUUCAAUAUUAAACAAAAAUUUACCUUAAUUAUUAGGUUCUUUCACAUUGUGAACUGAUAACAACUGUAUAAGUUUAAAAGUGGAUGGAUAUACAGUUAUAUUUGUUUAUUUUUAUUGUUUCAAUUGCCAUGUACAUGUAUGAGGCUAAAAAAGGUCACCAUUUGUAAGGAUAUGAAGGUGUUUUACAGAUAUUAGAAUAAUGUACAAAAAAGUAAGUCUGGAAGCAAGACCAAAAAAAUAAAGAGGUGAUGAAGAAAAUAUUGAUUGAUUGUAUGUUGUUUAACGUCCAGUGGCAAAUAUUUGAUGCAUGUUGAGGACAAAUAUAAUAACAGAUCAAUUGGCAGUAAAAGAAAGUAUAAAGUGAAAUAGUAAAAACAAUAAAAAAAAAUCUAGAAAUAUAGAGAUAUAGAAACGAUGAUCUGACCCUCCCCCUUUUAAAAAACAACAACCAAAAAACAAAACACUCACACUCGCAUAUAAUUGUAAUAAGUUUAUUGCAAAUCAGCAUAUAAUAUAAUGCUAUAGCAUCAACAACAUAUAUUAUAUAGUAAGCGACAUAAUAUAAAUGAAAACAGAAAGCAAAAUAAUAACAAACAAAAAACAAAACCAACAUAUUAAACAAAUAGUAUUAUAUAUAAUCUACUUUAUCAGUUGUGACCGUAGUUUCCAGUUCUCAUUUAACAAACAACAAAGUUUUAAUACCAAAGUUCUUGAACAUGUUUGAAUAAGUGAUAAACAUUUUGACAUAUUAGGCCAAGAACAAUAAUAUUUAGGCAAAAAUCUUAAACGCAGAUGUCUAUAGGCUGGACAAAUCAUUACAAAAUGAUAUUCAUUUUCAAUAGCUUUCAUAUUGCAACAUUGACAUAGUCUUUCAUUACGAGGCACAUUAUUAUAUCUACCAGUUUCAAUGUUGAGUUUAAGUGAACCACAUCUAAGUUGUGUUAAGAGUUUAACAUUGACAUCAAGAAGUAAAUAUUUUUCCAAACAAAAGUCAAUUUUGAACAUUUUCAAAAUAUCCAAUUUUUCACAAUCCAACAUACUAGAACGCCAGCUUUGUAUAAACUGAUCAUAGAGGCGUAGUUUCAAA